UACGUAGGAGGCAAGCGUUGUCCGGAUUUACUGGGCGUAAAGCGCGCGCAGGCGGCAGUGCAAGUAAGGUGUGAAAUCUCCCUGCUCAACGGGGAGGGUGCAUUUUAGACUGCACAGCUAGAGGUCGGUAGAGGGGGGUGGAAUUGCUGGUGUAGCGGUGAAAUGCGUAGAGAUCAGCAGGAACACCCGUGGCGAAGGCGGCCCCCUGGGCCGUACCUGACGCUGAGGCGCGAAGGCCUAGGGGAGCGAACGGG
rnacentral:rRNA from 1 species